AAAAAUAUUUGGUCUCGUGCCAAAUUUACACCUGUGUGCACCAUUGUCUGUAUUUGGUAGCUCGAGCGCGCUCCGGAAGCUCAACACUUCCAUUAGGGGCGCCUACCCUUGCGGGUCACAUCCCGCUUGGGUUGGGCUACCGCCUUUUUUUUGAAAAACCUUUUUUGUUUUGUCUUUUUGUCUGAACGAAGAGUUGAUCUUAAUUGAUUAAUGAUUUGAAAA
rnacentral:misc_RNA from 1 species